GGGGAAUAUUGGACAAUGGGCGCAAGCCUGAUCCAGCCAUGCCGCGUGGAUGAUGAAGGCCUUAGGGUUGUAAAGUCCUUUUAACGGGGAAGAUAAUGACGGUACCCGUAGAAUAAGCCCCGGCUAACUUCGUGCCAGCAGCCGCGGUAAUACGAAGGGGGCUAGCGUUGCUCGGAAUCACUGGGCGUAAAGCGCACGUAGGCGGCUUUCUAAGUCAGAGGUGAAAUCCUGGAGCUCAACUCCAGAACUGCCUUUGAUACUGGAAAGCUUGAGUUCGGGAGAGGUGAGUGGAACUGCGAGUGUAGAGGUGAAAUUCGUAGAUAUUCGCAAGAACACCAGUGGCGAAGGCGGCUCACUGGCCCGAUACUGACGCUGAGGUGCGAAAGCGUGGGGAGCAAAC
rnacentral:rRNA from 1 species